rnacentral:rRNA from 1 species
AGUGAACGCUGGCGGUAGGCCUAACACAUGCAAGUCGAACGGCAGCACAGGAGAGCUUGCUCUCUGGGUGGCGAGUGGCGGACGGGUGAGGAAUACAUCGGAAUCUACUCUGUCGUGGGGGAUAACGUAGGGAAACUUACGCUAAUACCGCAUACGACCUACGGGUGAAAGCAGGGGACCUUCGGGCCUUGCGCGAUUGAAUGAGCCGAUGUCGGAUUAGCUAGUUGGCGGGGUAAAGGCCCACCAAGGCGACGAUCCGUAGCUGGUCUGAGAGGAUGAUCAGCGACACUGGAACAGAGACACGGUCCAGACUCCUACGGGAGGCAGCAGUGGGGAAUAUUGGACAAUGGGCGCAAGCCUGAUCCAGCCAUACCGCGUGGGUGGAGAAGGCCUUCGGGUUGUAAAGCACUUUUGUUGAGAAAGAAAUCCAGCUGGCUAAUACCCGGUUGGGAUGACGGUACCCAAAGAAUAAGCACCGGCUAACUUCGUGCCAGCAGCCGCGGUAA